AUCAAACAAGUUUUGAUGGAAACAUGUGGGUACAUAGUGCCCAUCAAAUUUUAUUACAUGCCAUAAAUUUCAAAUGAUCAACAGUUCUAUCUCUUCCGACCACGCCGUGUACCCUUCUUCGCCUUAGCAUUUCUUGUUUUUGGUUGUACUGCACACACAAGUUCACUGAUCAUCUUGGUUUUCUUCACUGGACUCGAUGUUAUCGCCUCAUGAAACUCGAUAGCAGCUUCAGUUUCGACAGUUUCGACAGUGUGCACAGCUUCAGUUUCAGUUUCGAC
rnacentral:lncRNA from 1 species